rnacentral:lncRNA from 10 species
CAGCUACUUGGGAGGCUGAGGCAGGAGAAUGGCAUGAACCCAGGAGACAGAGCUUGCAGUGAGCCGAGAUUGCGUCACUGCACUCCAGCCUGGGCGACAGAGCGAGACUCCGUUUCAAAAAAAAAAAAAAAAAAAGACCAGGGCGGUGGCUUACAUCUGAAAUCCCAGCACUUUGGGAGGCCAAGGUGAGUCAAGUGAAUCACUUGAGGUCAGCAGUUUGUGACUUGCCUGGCCAACAGGGUGAAACCCCGUCUCUACUAAAAAAAUUAAAAAAUCAGCCUGGCAUGGUGGCAUGCGCCGGUAGUCCCACCUACUCAGGAGGCCAAGGCAGGAGAAUUGCUUAAACCUAGGAGGCAGAGGUUGCAGUGAGCCAAGAUCACGCAACUGCACUCCAGCCUGGGGGACAGAGCGAGACUCCAUCUCAAGAAAAAACAACAAAAAGCUAAAUUUAAAAAAUGGAUUAACCAGUCUCUGUAUUCAAGUAGUUCCUUUCUUUUUUCAUUUCUUCCUUCUAUCUGCAAACAUUUAUUACUAUAUGGGACAGAUAAAGAAGUCAAUAAAAGAUUUUAAUAAAAUCUAAGUACACAUUAACAUUUUACAAAAUAAUUUUAAGACUUUGAGCCUUAUGUUGCUUCUUUAAGGUGAUCCAGAUGUACGACAUGCUAGCAUUCUUCUACAGUAUUUAUAUCUAUUUCUGGAAACGUUCGUUUAUUGUAUUUAAACAUCAUAUAAUUCUCUUGAAAGGCACAAUAGAUGUUAUAUAGACAAGUAGCGGCAGUUCUUUCAAAACUCUUAGAAGUAUCUCUUUGGCCUUUGAAGUAUGCCAUCAAUCUAUGUCUACUUUGAGCCUUAAGGCAGAAAGCCAAUCUAGGCCCCAGCUCAUCAGUAGUUUAAACCUUGCUUCAACCUGCCCCUGAUUUGCAAUGGCUGCCCAACUGGGAGUCACAAACUCCAAGAGUGCUCCAGGGGCCAGGCAGGGAAUGUGACUGAGUGAAGUGGGCCAAAUGUAAGCAAAAAUAACCAGCAAAUGAGAUGGUAAAUGACAACAGUGCUUCAAAUGGUAACACCCUUGGGAGUGGUGGCCUUGGGAAUGCAUGGCCAGUCCAGAGGGCCACUCCAGCAUGUCACUGCUGUGGGGAAUGUGGACCUAAGAUGCACAGAUCUUCUGAUUUGUUCAAAAGAAGUAAAAAUUCAUAUUUGUUUGUAGCAUCUCCUAGUUUUUAAAUGUUCGCAAUAGAUUUUUGUUGUUGUUGUUUCGGAGACGGAGUCUUGCUGUGUCGCCCAGCCCGGAGUGUGUUGGCGCAGUCUCGGCUCACUGUAGCCUCUGCCUCCUGGGUUCCAGCGAUUCUCCUGCCUCAGCCUCCUGGGUAGCUGGGAUUACAGGCGCACGCCACCAAGUCUGGCUAAUUUUUGUAUUUUUAGUAGAGAUGGGGUUUCGCCAUGUUGGCCAGACUGGUCUCAAACUCCUGACCUCAGGUGAUCCGCCUGCCUUGGCCUCUCAAAGAGCUGGGAUUACAGGCGUGAGCCACUGUGCCCGGCCUAAAUGUUCGUGACAGAUUUUUAAAGAUUAGUAUUGCUGUGGAGCUAAAUGAAUACAUCUACAGGCCAUUUUUGACUCAAGAGACACAGAAGAGAAAUUAGACAAAGUAGACGCUGAUUGGACCAAGUGGUAAAAUGAUCACUUCUAAGCUAUUAAGGUGAGGAAAAGGAAGAAGUUCCAAGAUCUCACAAGUAUAAAUACUGCACUAUAUAUAGGAUACAGUUGUAUUCGUGGGCAGCACCCUUGACCACAAGAGGCAUCUGUCUUCAGGGUGCAGCAUUUAAUUGAAGUGGAAAUGUAAUCAUAUGCCUACUUGGCCAAGAAAGGCUGAUGAUGGAUGAGGGAUCAUCAGACCUUCAAAAGAUAGGGAAGUCAGGUUGCUUUUACACUGAUCGUAUCUCUAUUUGAAGAUAAAGAAAAAAGGAUUGGGAGAAAACAUCAGAAGGAAAUAAAGGCCAAUUACUUGCUUAUGUCCAACAAUAUCAGACAGGAGGGCUUACCACAGAGGCGAGUUAAUAGGAAAGAAGACAGUUUGGGUGAGAAUAUACACUCCAUUCACUGUGAGUGGGAAACAACAACAGCUUGCAGGGAGGUAAUAAUGAACAGGAAUUACUGACUCAACAUCCCUUCCUAGGGUAUCAUCCUUCCUGGCCCAUGCUAUCUCUGGGGGGAUGUCAAUUACAGAGCUCAGUAUCCCAACAUAAGUGGGCAUGUGACUCAGACUAGCCAAUCAAAGCACUGCACUCCCCUAACUACAAGCAUUGGUUCAGAAGUGGGCAUGUGACCAAGGCAGGACCAAUUAGAAUCUUCCCUGAAAUAUGAUCUAUAGCAAUUUGGGAGAGAAAUCUUUCUUCUCCUCUCGCAUCUCAAACUGUAAGGAUUAUGUAAACUUAAGCUGUGGCUUUUUUCCUCAACCGCAUAGAAAAUGCUGCUGUCGCUGCUGUUGCUGCUGCAGGAAAAAGGAGCAGAGACAAGCUGAGAUGAGAUAAAUAAGAAGAGGAAGGAUACUGGCUGCAUCCAUUGAGCACUUGGAUCCAUCCCUGUAACAAAAGACUCCUGACAAAUACAGCUGUAAAGCUGACUAGUUCAGUGACUAGCAGCAGCAAUAAGAGGUAGACACUCACAUACAACAUAUGCACCAACAAACCAAAGAAACUGAGAUUGAGGUGGAUCAAGAAACCCAAACUUUGCUAAAAUCAGUUGAGUCAAAUAUAGUUUCACUUUUCAAUCUCUAGUAUGUACCUCUCAAAGAAUCUUUUGCAAAUCAAGAAAAAUGAAAAAGAUUCCAAAGCCAGAAACCUAAAAUAAAGAAGUGCUCUUUGUAUUAAUUAAGUGAAUGAAUGAACAAAUACUCAGACUAGACUUCCUUAUCAUUUAUUUUUAAUUUUAUUUUAUUUUUCCUGAGACAGAGUUUCACUGUGUUGCCCAGGCUGGAGUGCAUUGAUCAUAGCUCAUUAUAGCCCCAAACUUCUGGGCUUAAGCCAUCCUCCCACCUCAGCCUCCUGAGUAACUAGAACUACAGACAUGCACCUACCACACCUGGUUAACUUCUGUUUUGUUUUUGUUGUUUUUGUUUUUGUUUGUUUUGUUUUGUUUUUGAGACAGAGUCUCGCUCUGUUGCCCAGGCUGGAGUGCAGUGGUGUGACCCAGGUUCAAGCAAUUCUCCUGCCUCGGCCUCCUGAGUAACUGGGAUUACAGGCGUGAGCCACCAUACCCGGCUAAUUUUUGUAUUUUUACUAGCGAUAGGGUGUCACCAUGUUGGCCAGGCUGGUCUUGAACACCUGACCUCAAGUGAUCCACCAGCCUCGGCCUCUCAAUCACGCUGGGAUUACAGGCGUGAGCCAACAUGCGUGGCCUGUUUUUGUUUUUGUUUUUGUUUUUGUAGAGACAGGAUCUUGCUUUGUUGCCCAGGCUGGUCAAACUCCUGGCUUCAAGUGAUCCUCCCACCUCAGCCUCCCAAAGUGCCACAGGCCUGAGCCAUCAUGUCCAGCCUCCUUAUCAUUUCAAUUGAGGGCACUUAGAAGAAAUAACUCACAACAUAGAAGAUGACAAAUCCGUCAUCUCCAAAUGUGACAUGGAAUUCAAAUAGGCCUCACGUUUUAUUGCUGAAAGACACCUUAGAGAUCAGAAAACCAAGACCUAGAACCUACAACAAGCUAAUAGAUCAAUAAAAGUACACAGCAUGGAGGUGCCCAGCCUCCUACACGGUCUCAUGUAUACACAGGUGCUAUCUGGCAACAAUUAAAUACUGAGCACAGACAUGAUGUGGAAGAGGGAUAUCCCACAACCUUGCCUUCUUCGUUUGUGUAUUUGGGGCACUGGCUUGCAGCAGUGCCACUUUCUUUGGUGUUGGUCAACUAGAGCCUUAAGGCUUUUGGAAGCUACAGCCACAAGGAUCGAGAAAGCCUACUUUUAUUCUACAGAUACUUUCACAAUGGUUUGCAAAGAUUUACACUAUAUAUAUGUAUAUAGUAUAUAAACAGUAUAUACACACAUACAUUUAUAGUGUAUAUAUACUGUACAUCUAUAAUAUAUACUAUAGAUACAGUAUAUACCACAUAUUGUAUCUAUACAUAUACUGUAUAUACAGUAGAUAUAAGGUUGAUACUAUGAUAUACUGUAUAUACUAUAGAUUAAUAGUAUAUAUACUAUAUAAUAUAUACUGUAAAGAUUUAUAGUACAGACUAAAUCUGUAUAUAUACUGUAAAUAUAUAUGUAUAUGUGUAUAUUACAUAGGUAUCACAUAUACAUAUAUACACACAUGCAUAUAUACAUAUUUUUGUUUUACAAAAAACGAAUAUGUAACCCUAAGAUUCCAUCUCAUGCCCCUGCCUUCCCCUACUUAAGUUAUCCAUUAUUUUGAAUCCCUUGCUUCCCUUUUAUAUACUGUCUUUGCAUCUGUAUGUAAUCUCAAAUUUUAUUUUUAUUCAUUUUCGUUGCUUUUACUUUUAUAAGAGUAUCAUAAUGAAUAUCAUCUUUUGGGACCUUUCUUUAUUUUUUUCCACUUCAUAGUGUAUUGAUAAUCUUUGUCCAUAUUAUCAAGUCAUUGGAGUUCACCUGUUUUGACUCUUGUAUAGUGUUUCAUUGCACAGAUAAUAUCAGAGUUCAUCCAUUUCAUUCUUCUCUUGAUGGACAUUCGGUCUAUUUCCAAGUUUUGGAUCUUGUGGAGCAAAAGUUUUUUUAUCUAAUACUUCUCUUAACAUAUAGUACAUGUUAAUACUAUUAGCCUGUUUUCACACUGCUAUAAAGAAAUACCUGAGACUGGGUAAUUUUAUAAAGAAACGAGGUUUAAUUGGCUUACAGUCCUGCAAGCUGUACAGGAAGCAUACAUGCUUCUGGGGAGGCCUCGGGAGCCUUACAAUCAUGGUGGAAGGUGAAGGGGAAGUAGGCACAUCUUACAGGGCCGCAGCAGGAGGAAGAGAGAGAGGGAAGACGCUACACACUUUUCAAUAACCAGGUCUCAGGAUAACUCACUCACUCACUGUCAGCAGAGCAGCACCAAGGGGAUGGUGCUUACUCAUGCAUGAGAACUCCAUACAUAUGAUCCAGUCACCUCCCACCAGGCCACCUCCAACACCGGGGAUUACAAUUCAACAUGAAAUUUGUUGGGGACAUAGACCUAACCCAUAUCAACAUGUCAUAUUUUACAAUAGCCUGUAGGUUAUUUUCUUUUUUUUUUUUUUUUGAGACGGAGUCUCACUCUGUCACCCAUGCUGGAGUGCAGUGGCACGAUCUCAGCUCACUGCAACCUCCACCUCCUAGGUUCACGCCAUUCUUCUUCUUCAGCCUCCCAAGUAGCUGGGACUACAGGCGCCUGCCACCACGCCCAGCUAAUUUUUUUUUUUUUUUUAGUAGAGACGGGGUUUCACCGUGUAAGCCAGGAUGGUCUUGAUCUCCUGACCUCGUGAUCCGCCUGCCUCAUCCUCCCAAAGUGCUGGGAUUACAGGCAUGAGCCACCGUGCCCGGCCUGUAGGUUAUUUUCAAAGUCCUAGUUUUCAUUCUGGAUGGUGGGAUCGUGGGUCUUUAUUAUAUUAUUAAAACUCGUUAACUGGCCGGGCACGGUGACUCAUGCCUGUAAUCCCAGCACUUUGGGAGGCCAAGGCGGGCAGAUCCCCUGAGGUCAGGAGUUCGAGACCAGCCUGGCCAACAUGGUGAAACCCCAUCUCUACUAAAAAUACCAAAAAUUAGCCGUGUGUAGUGGCGGGUGCCUGUAAUCCCAGCUACUCAAUAGGCUGAGACAGGCGAAUUGCUUGAACCCGGGAGGUGGAGGUUGCAAUGAGAUGAGAUUGCACCAUUACCAUUGCACUCCAGCCUGGUCAACAAGAGUGAAACUCUGUCUCAAAAAAAAAAAAAUUAAAACUCGCUAACUAACUAAAUAAAAGCAAGCCAUACAUGGACCAAUGACGCCAGUGUGUCAUGACUAAUCUAAUUCUAUACACCCGAGAUCCAGAGAGAAAAAUAAAUCAGGAAAAUAUUAUAUAUACUGUGAUAUGCCCUGUAUUUUGUCUUAGAAUGCUUGCUGUAUCAGCACAUCUAGGCCUAUUUCACUUUUAACUGUUGCAGAAUAUUCUGGUAAUGGACAUAAUAUAAUUUAAAAUUUUUUAAAUUUUAUCUUGGAAAAUUUCAAACAUAUUCAAAAGAGUGAAUGGAACUGGAUGAGCCCAGUUUCACUAAUUAUUAACAUCUGGCCAGUCUUGCUUCAGCUUUUCCCCCAUACUGUCUCCCUCCCUCCCCCUCUGCAUUACUUUAAAGCAAAUGUAGGCUAUCAUUUCAUUUGUCCAUAACUCCUUCUCUGUUGGUGGAUGCAGGUUGUUUUCACUCUUUGGCUUCUACAAACACUGCUGCAAUGAACGUCCUUGAAAAUACAGUGAAAUUAUAUAUAUAUAUAUACUCCAUAUAUAUGUAUAUAAAUAUUUAUAUAUUUUUCCUGGGAUGGUACAGAAGAAACUUACCAGAAUUAUUUGGAAAAAAAGGAAAACUAGAAGUCAGGAAUAAGAGAUCAAACAUAUUAAAACCCUUUCUCUUAUAGUGACAGAAAGCCAUCUCAAAUUGCCUUAGCAAAACAGAUAAUUUAGGCCGGGUGCAGUGGCUCAAGCCUAUAAUCCCAGCACUUUGGGAGGCCAAGGCAGGUGUAUUACCUGAGAUGAGGAGUUCAAGACCAUUCUAAGCAACAUGGUGAAACCCCAUCUCUACUAAAAAUACAAAAAUUAGCUGGGCAUGGUGGCGGGCGCUUGUACUCCCAGCUACUCAGGAGGCUGAGGCAGGAGAAUAGUUUGAACCCGGGAGGCGGAGGUUGAAGCGAGCCGAGCUGGAGAUCUUGCCACUGCACUCCAACCUGGGCAACAGAGUAAGACUGUCUCCAAAAAAAAAAAAAAAAAAAAAAAAAAAAGGUGCCAGGUGCGGUGGCUCACGCCUGUAAUCCCAGCACUUUGGGAGGCUGAGGCGGGUGGAUCAACUGAGGUCAGGCGUUCCAGACCAGCCUGACCAACAUGGGAGAAACCUCGUCUCUACUAAAAAGACAAAAUUAGCCAGGCAUGGUGGCACAUGCCUGUAAUCCCAGCUACUUGGGAGGCUGAGGCAGGAGAAUCUCUUGAAUCUGGGAGGCAGAGGUUGCGGAGAGCUGAGAUCGUGCCACUGCACUCCAGCCUGGGCAACGAGAGCAAAACUCCGUCUCAAAAAAAAAAAAAAAAAGCUAAUUUAGUGAUUUGCAUAACUUCAAGGUCCAGAGAUAAUAUAUUGAUAAGGUUUGGCUGUGUCCUCACCCAAAUCUCAUCUUGAAUUGUAGCUCCCAUAAUUCCCACGUGUUGUGGGAGGGACCUGGUAGGAGGUAAUUGAAUCAUGGGGGCGGGUCUUUUCCCUGCUGUUCUCGUCAGAGUGAAUACGUCUCACGAGAUCUGAUGGUUUUAUAAAGGGGAGUUUCCCAACACAAGCUGUCUUGCCUGUCACCGUGUGAGAAGUGACUUUGUUCCUCAUUCGCCUUCAGCCAUGAUUGUGAGACAUCCCCAGCCAUGUGGAACUGUGAGUCAAUUAAACCUCUUUCCUUUAUAAAUUACCCAGUCUCGGUUAUGUCUUUAGCAGCAUGAGAACAGACUAAUACAGUAACUAUAUACAUAUAUAUAUUUGUAUAUAUAUAUAUAAAAUAUAUAUAUAUAUAUUUUUUUUUUUUUGAGACAGGGCAUCACUUUGUCACCCAGACUGGAGUGCAGUGGCACAAUCUCAGCUCACUGCAGCCCCAAACUCCUGGUUUCAAGUGAUCCUCCCACUUCAGCCUCCUGAGAAGCUGGAACUACAGUAAGUUGCAGAUAUGAAGACUAAAGCAACAACAACAACAACAGCAACAACAACAAACUCCUAAGCACUCAGGCUGGGAGCGGUGGCUCAAGUCUAUAAUCCCAGCACUUUGGGAGGCUGAGGCAGGAGGAUCACUUGAGGCCAGGAGUUCGAGACCAGCCUGCACAACAUGGCGAAUCUCUGUCUCUACUAAAAAUACAAAUAUUAGUCACGGUGGUGCACUCCUGUAGUCUCAGCUACGGGUGGCUGAGGCACAAGAAUCACUUGAACUCAGGAGGCAGAAGUUGCAGUGAGCCGAGAUCACGCCACCAUACUCCAGCCUGGGCGACAGGGCGAGACUCUGUCUCAAAAACAAACAAACAAACAAACCAAAAAACUCCUAAGCACUCAAAAUACAUCUCCUAAGAAUAAGGACAUUUUCCUAUACAACCACAAUAUCAUUCUGGUUAUGAUAAUUUUAACUUUUGUUUUAAUAAUGUAAAUAACACCAUGUAAACAUAUUCUGGAACAUCUAGAUGGCCUCAUUAUAUUACAGUACUGUCUCUCAAAUUCAGUGCCUUUAGUAGACAGGAUAGGCUAGAUUAUGCUGCAGGUAACAGCCCCAGCCUGGGCAACAUAGGAGACUCCAUCUCUACCAAAAGUCUUUGAAAAUUAGCCAAGUGUGGUGCUGUGCACCAGUAGUUUUAGCUACUCGGGAGGCUGAGGCAGAAAGAUCGCUUGAGUUCAGGAAUUGAAGGCUGCAGUGUGCCAUGAUCACGCCACUGCAUUCCAGCCUGGGCAACAAAGGGAGACCCUGUAUCAAACAAAAAGAAAAAGAAUGAAAUCAUGUUAUUUACACUAACAUGGAUGGAACUGGAGGUCAUUAUGGUAUAAUUGAAAUAAGUCAGGCACAAAAAGACGAAUAUUGGAUGUCCUCACUCGUGUGGGAGCUAAAAAGCUGAUCUCAAAGAGUCAAAGAAUAGAAUGCCAUGUACUGGAGGCUGGGAUGGGUGUAUGGACGGGAGGGGGGUGAUGAAGAGAGGUGGGUUAUCAAACAUACAGUUAGAUAGAAAAAGUUCUAAUGUUUGAUGGCAGAGUAAAGUGACUAUACUUAGCAACGAUGGACUGUGUAUUUCAAAGCAGCUAGAAGAGAGGACUUGAAAUGUUC